CAUUGCUGAGGUAACAUAAUCUGUCCUCCUUGUGCAUGAUACCAUUCAACAUUCAUAUUUUCUAGCAAAUUCGUGAAGUAACAAUGUCAAGACCAGACACAUGAGUUGUUGCUGAAUAAGUCAUAGAUUUCAGAAUUUCACUUUUACUCUAGCAAACUGUUGCAUUGGGUUGAUUUACAAUACAACAAAUUCGUGAAGUACCAGAUCCAACACCAGACAUAUUGUUGUUGAACAAGGCAUAGAUUUCACAAUUUCAUUUUUUUCCCCUACCGGUUAGUUGCAUUUGGUUGAUUACAAUACAGCACCACUACCAGUACCAGACAUAUGAUUUGUUGCUGAACAAGGCAUAGAUUUCAAAAUUUUCAAUUUUACUCUGUUGGACAAUUGCAUUGCGUUGAUUUACGAUACAGGUAUGUAGUACUUCUCUUAAACUCUAGUUAUGUCCAAUAUUUGUUGUUUUAGGCGUUUGUUUUUAUCCUGCUUGACUAAGAAACUAAAAUGUUAGUUUUACAAUCUAGUGCCCACCAGAUAUUCUAUUUCAGGAUCCAGAUCAACAAUUUUAUUGAUUAGG